rnacentral:rRNA from 1 species
GACGAACGCUGGCGGCGUGCCUAAUACAUGCAAGUAGAACGCACAGUUUAUACCGUAGCUUGCUACACCAUAGACUGUGAGUUGCGAACGGGUGAGUAACGCGUAGGUAACCUGCCUGGUAGCGGGGGAUAACUAUUGGAAACGAUAGCUAAUACCGCAUAAUAUUGAUUAUUGCAUGAUAAUUGAUUGAAAGAUGCUAUUGCAUCACUACCAGAUGGACCUGCGUUGUAUUAGCUAGUAGGUGAGGUAACGGCUCACCUAGGCGACGAUACAUAGCCGACCUGAGAGGGUGAUCGGCCACACUGGGACUGAGACACGGCCCAGACUCCUACGGGAGGCAGCAGUAGGGAAUCUUCGGCAAUGGACGAAAGUCUGUCCGAGCAACGCCGCGUGAGUGAAGAAGGUUUUCGGAUCGUAAAGCUCUGUUGUAAGAGAAGAACGGGUGUGAGAGUGGAAAGUUCACACUGUGACGGUAUCUUACCAGAAAGGGACGGCUAACUACGUG